GGGCUCGUAGCUCAGUUGGUUAGAGCGCUACGUUGACAUCGUAGAGGUCACAGGUUCGAAUCCUGUCGGGCCCA
rnacentral:tRNA from 1 species